rnacentral:rRNA from 1 species
UUCCGUACGGGAGGCAGCAGUGAGGAAUAUUGGUCAAUGGCCGGAAGGCUGAACCAGCCAAGUCGCGUGAGGGAAUAAGGCCCUAUGGGUCGUAAACCUCUUUUGUCAGGGAGCAAAGGCGUCCACGUGUGGACGAGAGGAGAGUACCUGAAGAAAAAGCAUCGGCUAACUCCGUGCCAGCAGCCGCGGUAAUACGGGGGGUGCAAGCGUUGUCCGGAAUCAUUGGGCGUAAAGCGUUCGUAGGCGGUAUGUCAAGUCUGAUGUUAAAGCCCGGGGCUCAACUCCGGUUCGGCAUUGGAUACUGG